rnacentral:lncRNA from 1 species
AGUGUUGGAAUUACAGGCGUGAACCACCAUGCCUGGCCAGCUCUAUUUCUUUAAGCCUACAUGUUUUGCACUUGUUAAAAGUAUUUGAAUAUACAAUUACUCAGUUUCCCUUGUUUAUGCUUGAAUUUUGUAUAAUCUUAAAUAUUUUUUCCAAUCUAAGCUUUAUUUUAUCCCGUUUCUUCUAUAUUUGUAUAACUUUAGGUGGCUAUCUUCAUUGAAAAUUUUUUCUCAAAAGCCUUAAAAUAGAACAUAGUUCUUGGCAGCAAUUUAAAGUUAUUUGAGGAGAAGGGGAGACUUACAAUGAUGCUUCAAUUGAAGCAAACUAAAAAGUAAUGAAGCAAGACAGAGGAAAAAGCAGUAUUCACUUGAGCACAUCCCAAAAGAAUAACAUUUCAAAUGUAACUAGAAAAAAGAUUGCUGAAGUUUGCAAUACAGAAAUAAUUAUUAAGAUAGCUUUAAAGCCCUGCUCAGCUUUUGAAUGUUGGGAAUUGACCCAGAGGUGGCUGUAAACUAAGAUGGUUCCUUCAGUAAUGACCAUUUUUUCUUUUUCAAGAUGAUGAUUAUUCCCCACCUUCUAGGACACAAAGACCAACGAGCCACCACAGCCACCAGUCCCAGAACCCGCUAAUGCUGGGGAACGGAAAAUGAGGGAGUUCAACUCUGGCCCUCACAAUCCAGUGGAGGAGACGAAACUCAUCUGCCUCUGUCCCUCUGGGCACGCCUCAUGCCAGGUGCAUCUGUGGACAGGGGCCAUGCUCCUGGGCUUCCAAAGUUGGAGAAAGCUGCCAGGCUCAGGUCUGAAGGCCAGAAUUCUACAGUAAGUCCUACUGAGUCAAGGUGGGAGCAGGGUCGGUGGCUUCUGAGGCUCUGCGGGAGAAUCCGUUUCCUGGUCGUGGAGGUGGCCUGCACUCCUCAGCUUGUGCUGCCAGUCUCGAAUGACUGGAGUUUCCUGCUUCUGUCACUACACCUCCCACCCUCUCCAUCACCUGCUUUGCUCUUAUAAGGAUCCGGAGAAAUGGAAUAAUUGUAUCGCUCAUCUACGUAAACAAAUUGAAGAAUUGUCUGAAAGAAAAUAUGCUCGAGCUGUAAAAGCCAAAGGUCCGGUGAUGAUCCCAUACCCUUUUUUCCAGUCUCAUGUUGAAGAUUUUUAUGUAGAAGGCCUUC